GAUGUUAGAUAACCCGUCAAUG
rnacentral:siRNA from 1 species